CAAUAGCGUAUAUUAAAGUUGUUGCGGUUAAAAAGCUCGUAGUUGGAUCUCGGCAGGCAGGGGGUGGUUCGCUCUUAGCGCUACUGCCCCAUUUGCCUGUGUGAUUGGCGGAGGUUUCGGGGUGCUCUUCGUUGAGUGACCCGGGGCGCCGUCAGGUUUACUUUGAAAAAAUUAGAGUGCUCAAAGCAGGCUUUUCACGCUUGAAUAUUCGUGCAUGGAAUAAUGGAAUAGGAACUCGUUUCUAUUUUGUUGGUUUUCGGAAAUCGAGUUAAUGAUUAAUAGGGACAAUUGGGGGCAUUAGUAUUCAGACGACAGAGGUGAAAUUCUUGGACCGUCUGAAGACUAACUACUGCGAAAGCAUCUGCCAAGAGUGUUUUCAUUAA
rnacentral:rRNA from 1 species